AGAUUCUCCAACAUGAUAUUUAUGACUCACUUUAUCUGGCUACUGCUGCUCUGGGUUCGGGGCGCCAGUGGGCAGAUUGUCAUUACCCAGACUCCAGAAUCUCUGUCAGUAUCUCCAGGAGACAGAGUCACCAUCAACUGCAAAGCCAGUAAUGGCAUUGAUAAUGCCGUAGCCUGGUACCAACAGAAAUCAGGGCAAGCUCCUAAGCUCCUUAUCUACGGCCCUUCCACCCGUCCCUCUGGAAUCCCAGACCGGUUCAGUGGCAGUGGGUCGGGCGCUGACUACACAUUCACAAUCAGCAGAGUUGAAGCUGAAGAUGCUGGAGAUUAUUACUGCCAGCAGCAUUACAGAGUCCCUCUCACAGUGAUACAGAGUGGCACAAAGACCUCCUUGCAGCUGUUUACGUUGUAUAGAAACUAG